GAUGAACGCUGGCGGCGUGCUUAACACAUGCAAGUCGAACGGAAAGGCCCAAGCUUGCUUGGGUACUCGAGUGGCGAACGGGUGAGUAACACGUGGGUGAUCUGCCCUGCACUUCGGGAUAAGCCUGGGAAACUGGGUCUAAUACCGGAUAGGACCACUUCUUGGAUGUUGUGGUGGAAAGUUUUUUCGGUGUGGGAUGAGCUCGCGGCCUAUCAGCUUGUUGGUGGGGUAAUGGCCUACCAAGGCGUCGACGGGUAGCCGGCCUGAGAGGGUGUACGGCCACAUUGGGACUGAGGUACGGCCCAGACUCCUACGGGAGGCAGCAGUGGGGAAUAUUGCACAAUGGGCGCAAGCCUGAUGCAGCGACGCCGCGUGGGGGAUGACGGCCUUCGGGUUGUAAACUCCUUUCGCUAGGGACGAAGCGUUUUGUGACGGUACCUGGAGAAGAAGCACCGGCUAACUACGUG
rnacentral:rRNA from 1 species